AACGAACGCUGGCGGCAUGCCUAACACAUGCAAGUCGAACGAGACCUUCGGGUCUAGUGGCGCACGGGUGCGUAACGCGUGGGAAUCUGCCCUUGGGUUCGGAGUAACUCGCCGAAAGGCGUGCUAAUACCGGAUGAUGUCGUAAGACCAAAGAUUUAUCGCCCAGGGAUGAGCCCGCGUAAGAUUAGGUAGUUGGUGAGGUAAAGGCUCACCAAGCCGACGAUCUUUAGCUGGUCUGAGAGGAAGGUCCCCCACAUUGGAACUGAGACACGGUCCAA
rnacentral:rRNA from 1 species